rnacentral:rRNA from 1 species
UACGUAGGCAGCAAGCGUUGUUCGGAGUUACUGGGCGUAAAGGGUGUGUAGGCGGCUAUCUAAGUUUGGUGUGAAAUCUCCCGGCUCAACCGGGAGGGUGCGCCGAAAACUGGGUGGCUAGAGUGUGGGAUGGGUAAGUGGAAUUCCUGGUGUAGCGGUGAAAUGCGUAGAUAUCAGGAGGAACACCGGUGGUGUAGACGGCUUACUGGACCAUUUCUGACGCUGAGACGCGAAAGCGUGGGGAGCGAACAGG